rnacentral:rRNA from 1 species
CCUACGGGAGGCAGCAGUGGGGAAUAUUGGGCAAUGGAGGAAACUCUGACCCAGCAACGCCGCGUGAAUGAUGAAGGUCUUCGGAUUGUAAAGUUCUUUUCUAAGGGAAGUAGAAAGUGACGGUACCUUAGGAAUAAGCCUCGGCUAACUACGUGCCAGCAGCCGCGGUAAUACGUAGGAGGCAAGCGUUAUCCGGAUUGACUGGGCGUAAAGGGUGCGUAGGUGGUUUGACAAGUUGGUAGCGUAACUCCGGGGCUCAACCUCGGCACUACGACCAAUACUGGCGGACGUGAGUGCAGGGGGGGCAAAUGGAAUUCCUGGUGUAGCGGUGGAAUGCGUAGAUAUUAGGAGGAACACCAGUGGCGAAGGCGAUUUGCUGGACUGCAACUGACACUGAGGCACGAAAGCGUGGGGAGCAAACAGGAUUAGAUACCCUUGUAGUC